GACGAACGCUGGCGGCGUGCUUAACACAUGCAAGUCGAACGGAAAGGCCCUGCUUUUGUGGGGUGCUCGAGUGGCGAACGGGUGAGUAACACGUGAGUAACCUGCCCUUGACUUUGGGAUAACUUCAGGAAACUGGGGCUAAUACCGGAUAGGAGCUCCUGCUGCAUGGUGGGGGUUGGAAAGUUUCGGCGGUUGGGGAUGGACUCGCGGCUUAUCAGCUUGUUGGUGGGGUAGUGGCUUACCAAGGCUUUGACGGGUAGCCGGCCUGAGAGGGUGACCGGCCACAUUGGGACUGAGAUACGGCCCAGACUCCUACGGGAGGCAGCAGUGGGGAAUAUUGCACAAUGGGCGGAACCUGAUGCAGCAACGCCGCGUGCGGGAUGACGGCCUUCGGGUUGUAAACCGCUUUCGCCUGUGACGAAGCGUGAGUGACGGUAAUGGGUAAAGAAGCACCGGCUAACUACGUG
rnacentral:rRNA from 1 species